UUUGAUCCUGGCUCAAAUUGAACGCUGGCGGCAGGCCUAACACAUGCAAGUCGAACGGUAAAGAAGCUUGCUUCUUACGAGUGGCGGACGGGUGAGUAAUGUCUGGGAAACUGCCUGAUGGAGGGGGAUAACUACUGGAAACGGUAGCUAAUACCGCAUAACGUCGCAAGACCAAAGAGGUUCGUCUUGCCAUCGGAUGUGCCCAGAUGGGAUUAGCUAGUAGGUGGGGUAACGGCUCACCUAGGCGACGAUCCCUAGCUGGUCUGAGAGGAUGACCAGCCACACUGGAACUGAGACACGGUCCAGACUCCUACGGGAGGCAGCAGUGGGGAAUAUUGCACAAUGGGCGCAAGCCUGAUGCAGCCAUGCCGCGUGUAUGAAGAAGGCCUUCGGGUUGUAAAGUACUUUCAGCGGGGAGGAAGGGAGUAAAGUAAUCUUUGCUCUUGACGUUACCCGCAGAAGAAGCACCGGCUAACUCCGUGCCAGCAGCCGCGGUAAUACGGAGGGUGCAAGCGUUAAUCGGAAUUACUGGGCGUAAAGCGCACGCAGGCGGUUUGUUAAGUCAGAUGUGAAAUCCCCGGGCUCAACCUGGGAACUGCAUCUGAUACUGGCAAGCUUGAGUCUCGUAGAGGGGGGUAGAAUUCCAGGUGUAGCGGUGAAAUGCGUAGAGAUCUGGAGGAAUACCGGUGGCGAAGGCGGCCCCCUGGACGAGACUGACGCUCAGG
rnacentral:rRNA from 1 species